ACGCUCAUACUAGUUCAUCAGUUGCUGAUUGCACGAUAUUCAGAAAAUGACUGCAUAAUGCACAAUAACUGAGAACUUGGAUCCAUAAAUUUCAUUACUUAAACAGAAUAAGCCAGAUAGGUUUGAACUUGUAUCUUGUGAAGUAUUUGAAUAGCCUGUGCAUACACAGGAGACAGGUUCACACCCAAAAGACAUAUAACAGCACUAGCCCGAGCAUACCAAGGCAACAGGACAAGCAAAAGACUGGUCACAAGCAAAAUCAUCAUGCCAUCAGCUGAUUACUAACAAAACUAGCAAAAUCAUCCUUAUAGUGUCCAGAAAUUCACCAUGGGUUCCUUCUUUAACUUUUUCCCUGCUAGUUCUGUACACACCAAUCAACAAAUUAGUAGUAGUAGAACAAGUUAACUGAACGAGUGAACAAAGCUGCUCAUGUAAAUAAUAUAAGAUUUUCACAGUUCAGUAACACUUUGGAGACUUCUCAGAUCACACAAAACUAAAAGUUUAGAACUAGCACAAACUGAAAGCAGUAUCUGAAAACAGAUAGUAACAAGCACCAAUAACUGAAACUUGCCUAACAAUAGCAGUUGCAUACAGCAACUCAGAAAGCAUUACCACUUGCAGAUAGUAACAGGCACGAAAAAACAGCAAGCUCACAUAAACCAAAAUUCAGAAACAUGCAGUAAUCUCUUUCAAAGCAGCAAAAACUUCAGAUCUGUUUUCAUAAGGAAAAAAAACAUGCAGUAAUCUACUGAUAAUCAAAGCCAUGUGAUAACCAAAAUUCAGAAACAACUACCGAUAGGGAAGCCGUGGCUAGUGAAGCCGCUGAUAGGGAACGAGUCUCCAUGCUGGAUGCAGCCAUGAAUGAGGAUGAUGCUGAUGCUUCGCCAUUGCCGCCGCUGAUGGGGAAAAGAGGUGCGCCGGAUCCGCGGCCAAAGGGGAGGCCGGGUGCCGAGCCGGAUCUGCCUCCAACGGGGAAGAGGCCCGCUGCCUUGCAAAAUCUAUUCCCACGCGCCCUCAACUCCCUCCGCACGCGCGCCCUCAACUAGAUCGUCUCGCUCGUCGACUCCACCAUACAACGCGACUCUAGAGAGACGAGGGAUUCUUGGACCACGAGCCACGCUCGUCGUCUCG
rnacentral:lncRNA from 1 species